GACGAACGCUGGCGGCGUGCUUAACACAUGCAAGUCGAACGAUGAAGCCGGAGCUUGCUCUGGUGAAUUAGUGGCGAACGGGUGAGUAACUCGUGAGUAACCUGCCCUUGACUCUGGGAUAACUGCGGGAAACUGUAGCUAAUACCGGAUACGACCCUCGGAGGCAUCUCCUGGGGGUGGAAAGAAUUUCGGUCAAGGAUGGACUCGCGGCCUAUCAGCUAGUUGGUGAGGUAACGGCUCACCAAGGCGACGAAGGGUAGCCGGCCUGAGAGGGUGAGCGGCAGCACUGGGAAUGAGACACGGCCCAGACUCCUACGGGAGGCAGCAGUGGGGAAUAGUGCACAAUGGGCGCAAGCCUGAUGCAGCAACGCCGCGUGAGGGAUGACGGCCUUCGGGUUGUAAACCUCUUUUAGCAGGGAAGAAGCGAAAGUGACGGUACCUGCAGAAAAAGCACCGGCUAACUACGUGCCAGCCGCCGCCGUAA
rnacentral:rRNA from 1 species